rnacentral:rRNA from 1 species
AGGCGACGAUCCGUAACUGGUCUGAGAGGAUGAUCAGUCACACUGGAACUGAGACACGGUCCAGACUCCUACGGGAGGCAGCAGUGGGGAAUAUUGGACAAUGGGCGAAAGCCUGAUCCAGCCAUGCCGCGUGUGUGAAGAAGGUCUUCGGAUUGUAAAGCACUUUAUGUUGGGAGGAAGGGCAGUUACCUAAUACGUAAUUGUUUUGACGUUACCGACAGAAUAAGCACCGGCUAACUCUGUGCCAGCAGCCGCGGUAAUACAGAGGGUGCAAGCGUUAAUCGUAAUUACUGGGCGUAAAGCGCGCGUAUGUGGUUUGUUAAGUUGAAUGUGAAAUCCCCGGGCUCAACCUGGGAACUGCAUCCAAAACUGGCAAGCUAGAGUAUGGUACAGGGUGGUGGAAUUUCCUGUGUAGCGGUGAAAUGCGUACAUGUAGGAAGGAACACCAGUGGCGAAUGCGACCACCUGAACUGAUACUGACACUGAGGUGCUAAAGCGUGAGGAGCAUA